rnacentral:rRNA from 1 species
GACGAACGCUGUCGGCGUGCCUAAUACAUGCAAGUAGGACGAAGUCGCGAACGGGUGCGUAACGCGUAGGUCACUACCUAUUAGAGGGGGCUAACUAUUGGAAACGAUAGCUAAUACCGCAUACUAGUAGAUGGACCUGCGUUUUAUUAGCUAGUAGGUAGGGUAAAGGCCUACCUAGGCAACGAUACAUAGCCGACCUGAGAGGGUGAUCGGCCACACUGGGCGUGAGACACGGCCCAGACUCCGACGGGAGGCAGCAGUAGGGAAUCUUCGGCGAGGGCGGGAACCCUGACCGAGCAACGCUGCGUGAGCAGAGAAGGUUGUCGGAUCGUAAAGCUCUGUUGUUACGUAAGCGGUACUUAACCAGAAAGGGACGGCUAACUACGUGCCAGCGGCCGCGUAAUAC